rnacentral:tmRNA from 1 species
GGGGGCGAUUGGGCUCGACGGGGGUUAUGAGGCUCCUGUGGCGUGUCGUGGCUCCAUCACCACGUAAAAAGGUGGAAACAAACACAAAAGCCAACAACGAACUGGCACUCGCAGCUUAACUAAGCUGCACGCUCCUCCGGGGUCGCCUGUGUUCCGGAGAAAGCGUCGAUCAGCAGGCUGGCCAAAGGGUGCGCUCCCAGCCCCGAGGCGAGACUAAGGGAGAUGGGGUUUCGGGAAGCCUGACUGCCGGCGUCCCGGGGCCUGACGAUUAAAAGACAGCCUACACACGUAGAAGCAUGAGUGUAGUACCUUCGGACCCGGGUUCGAUUCCCGGCGCCUCCACCA